CCUACGGGAGGCAGCAGUGAGGAAUAUUGGUCAAUGGCCGGAAGGCUGAACCAGCCAUGCCGCGUGAAGGUCAGUGCCCUAUGGGCGUUAAACUUCUUUUGUGCGGGAGCAAUAAUGGUCACGUGUGGCCAGACGAGAGUACCGUACGAAUAAGCAUCGGCUAACUCCGUGCCAGCAGCCGCGGUAAUACGGGGGAUGCAAGCGUUAUCCGGAUUUAUUGGGUUUAAAGGGUGCGUAGGCUGUGAGGUAAGUCAGCGGUGAAAUGCCUCCGCUCAACGGGGUGAAGUGCCAUUGAUACUGCCUGGCUGGAAUGCGGAUGCCGUGGGAGGAAUGUGUGGUGUAGCGGUGAAAUGCAUAGAUAUCACACAGAACACCGAUUGCGAAGGCAUCUCACGAAUCCGCGAUUGACGCUGAUGCACGAAAGCGUGGGUAUCAAACAGGAUUAGAUACCCUUGUAGUC
rnacentral:rRNA from 1 species